rnacentral:lncRNA from 1 species
GCUGAAUAGCUGGAAAAAAAGGUGGGCUGGACGAUGGGGCUGAAUAAUCAGGAGCAAAGGUCUUUGAGAGAGUAAAGCAAGCCCUGCAGUACGGGCAUACCAGAGUUCCAGAAGCAACCAGAAGUUUUGGUGGCUCUGCAUCCGGACAUCUCUCUGCAGGGAACUUUGGGGAUUGCAACAGUCACGAACCUCGUGCCCAAAAAUCUCCAAACGAGAGGCUUCUCCUGCCAGCUCUGCCAGGGCAUCCCAUGUACAGAGAUCCCACAGUGGAGAGCUGCCUUCAGAAAGCUUCACCCCAAGGAUGUGUAACUUGAUGCAGUAUUGACCAGACAUAUUUAGGAGGAGAAAACAGGAUUUGCUUCUUACCUAAAAGAAAAUAUAGCUGCCCAUUCAACAAGAAAUGAAUCCUGAAUCCUGGUCUCUCUGGAAAACCAAACCAACCAAAUCAGCCUCCUGCUUUUCAUUUACAUUCCAUUAAGGCUUGUUAACUUAACCUCAGCUCCCAGAGCUCUGGAGCAUUCUAUAGGUCGGACUGAGUGCUUUGUUAACUACCUUGAUGAACCAAUCAAGGCUUGGCUAAGUCAGAGAAGAAGCAGACAAACCCUGGGAGACAUCUGUACAAGAAAAGGCAUAAUCUGGACGCUGAGCUUUGAAGGCAAGCUAUAUAAUGAGAGCUGACUGUAUCUCAAAAUCCAUGUUAGCUUGAAUGAACUUAUGUAAUAAACAUUUAUCACAGAACAUAUGUCACUGAGCACCUGCCAGACUUCAGGAGUGGAGCCAACACAGCUUGAAUCGUAUAUGUAUUGGGAGAAAAAAAAAAAAGAAGAAAAAAAAAAAGGAACUUGGCGGCAGGAGGCUGGCAGACGCUUUUACUAGAAAAAUCAGAAGUGAUUUUGAGAGGAGCAGAAAUUUCCUGAAACCUCUUUCUCUCUGUAUAGGAAUUUCACACUUGGAAAAAACGAGAGGCAGAUUCGCCUGCAUGAGGUUGGGGUGGGAACUGGUUUUCCUCAGCAGGGAGUCAAAACAGACACAGAAGGGUCCCUCCCAGCAGAGCCUGGCUGGCCUUACCAUUUCUAGAACUGGGUGAUUAAAAGAUCUGGAAGCACCCUGUGAAGAAGAUCCAAAUCACUCUUCCUCAG